rnacentral:lncRNA from 1 species
CUGAAUUCAGGAGAGCUCCUUUGCUUUCAAAGGCACAUCCUCGCUGUCCGCCACCGUUCACGGAAGUAUUUCCAGCAGUUGCAAGGGCAGGGACACAAGCGUUUGACUGGAUAUGACGUUUUAACAUUACUAUGAGCUUGUUAUUUUUUAAGUUUAGCAUUGUUAACGUUGAAAUGACUGAAAGGAUGUAUAUAUCUCGAAAUGUCAAAUUAAUUUUAUAAAAGCAGUUGUUAGUAAUAUCACAACAGUGUUUUUAAAAGGUUAGGCUUUAAAAUAAAGCAUGUUAUACAGAAGCGAUUAGGAGUUUUCAGCUUGCAAGCAAGGGAAUGUAUAUACUAAAUGCCACACUGUAUGUUUCUAACAUUAUUAUUAUAAAAAUGUGUGAAUAUCAGUUUUAGAAUAGUUUCUCUGGCGGAUGCAGUGAUUGUUUCUGAAACUGCUAUGUACAACCUACCCUGUGUAUAACAUUUCCCACAAUAUCAUCGUUUUACUUUUCAGCAAAUAUGGAAAAAAUGUGUUUUAUUUCAUGGGAGUAAAAUAUACUACAUACAAAUUGGUCUGGAUUCUUUCUCCCCUACUCUGUCACCUGGCUGGGGCGCCUAAAAUCACUCCCUCCUAAACAAACCAGUUUCCUCUGCCUGCCUCGUUAAACAUACCGAGCAGCAGUGGUACUUACUUAAAUUUGGUAGAAAUAAAUUACAGCCAUUCAUCAGAAACUAAAAAGAGAAGGCACUCCUGAGUGGGGGCAAUGCUAGCAAAGUCUAGUCUUGUCUCUCAGAUUUUGCUUUGGCUUAAAACCAGAGGAUUCCAUUAUGGCCAGCAAAUAAUACAUGAGAAGGAAGGUGAAAGAAAUUCCAAGUGUGCCAGCUUGAAAUGCCUCUCCCGUUUACUCCAUCACAGGGGAAACUAUAGCUCCAGUAAAGUGUUCUGGAGAAAUACGUGUGCGUGUACCGUUUAUAUACAUUCCUCUCAGGAAGAAUACAUCUAUAAUAAAUUUCUGAGGAAACACCUCCAUUUCAAAAUAUUUAGGCCUCCGCGUUUAUCUUUCAGGCUUAAGUAGAGAGAUUCUUCAUGUUAUAUUGCAUUACUAUUUCCAAAUCCUUUGGAGACAUUAAAAGAAACAAAGCCCAUUUCUAAUAACCAUGGCCCUUCAGUUUCUCAAAGAGCCAGGGCUUGAGAGGUUAGAGCGGGGUUUCCUGAGUCUUGUCGAGCAAUAUGUAGUUGAGGCGCAAAGGUCACGCUCCCAGUGUUUUGUUUUAAAUAAUAUUGACCCAUUAAUUCUAAACCUGCUUGUUCCUGAAAUUAUACAGGAUUAUAGUUUGCAAACUGCAGGACAAUGAAGCAAAUCAAGAUGAAUUACAGCCCUGGGCCCUCCCAUCCUCUGACAUCUAAACUGGGAAGGAGGUCGGCGGCUGUUUAAAAAAACGUUAAGCACCGCUGCUGCCUCUUCGGGCUUUUUACUUUCUUCCUCCUGUCACAAAUAGUGGCCGAGAGGACUGAUUUGCAGGGCAUCGCCCCGCCCGGCGCGGCGGAGCUGGGG